AUUUUGCUCAGCUGAAGACUGUUAUCAAGCCUUGAACUAAGAGUCUUUGUCCAUGGAGAAUGAGCGAUCAAGACCCAAUCUGACUACAAAAGGACUCUUAGGAUAGAGAAUCAGCAGAAGCAGGCACAACAUCUUGCCCUUUCCCACAUCAUUAAUAACUUUGUGUAUGUAUAUUCGGAAUGAGAAAGACAAUGAAAAUGACUACCUCAAUGAGAUAAAUAGCCCCUAACUUUGCACUCCUGGGCCAAGCUAGAGACAAACUAUGAAUCCUCACUCACCCACAUCUGAGAAGUAUGACCCCAACUGUCUCUUCCGCUGUCACUGCCCCCACCACAUACUCUGCUGGCAUCUGCUGCCCACUGUCCCAGAGGAAGCCUCCAAGGACCAAACAAAUGUUUAUG
rnacentral:lncRNA from 1 species